rnacentral:rRNA from 1 species
AUUGAACGCUGGCGGCAGGCCUAACACAUGCAAGUCGAGCGGCAGCGGGACCUUCGGGUCGCCGGCGAGCGGCGGACGGGUGAGUAAUGCCUAGGAAUCUGCCUGUUAGUGGGGGAUCACGCGGGGAAACUCGCGCUAAUACCGCAUACGUCCUACGGGAGAAAGUGGGGGACCCUCGGGCCUUACGCUAACAGAUGAGCCUAGGUCGGAUUAGCUAGUUGGUGGGGUAAAGGCCCACCAAGGCGACGAUCCGUAACUGGUCUGAGAGGAUGAUCAGUCACACUGGAACUGAGACACGGUCCAGACUCCUACGGGAGGCAGCAGUGGGGAAUAUUGGACAAUGGGCGAAAGCCUGAUCCAGCCAUGCCGCGUGUGUGAAGAAGGUCUUCGGAUUGUAAAGCACUUUAAGUUGGGAGGAAGGGCGCUCGGUGAAUACCCAGGCGUCUUGACGUUACCGACAGAAUAAGCACCGGCUAACUUCGUGCCAGCCGCCGCGGUAACAC